rnacentral:tRNA from 1 species
AAAGCUUUAGUUUAACAAAAACAUUAGUUUGUCAAACUAAAAAUAUUUUCAUAAUAAUCUUUU